ACAAGAACAGGAGGAAAGUGAAUAAAAGAUUCAAAUGGUGAUAAAAAGAGUUGCAAUUUACACAUUCGUCUGAAUAGGGUAUAUUUACACAGAAGCAAGCAGUCUGAAGAAAAGAACAUGAACAGCAACCUGACUUUGGUAUAUUACUCACUCACUUACAAAUUACCCAGGAAAGCUAAAAAAAAAUAAGGAAAAAUGCCACAAUAUGCAUUGCCCAGAAGACACCAACUGCAGGGGAAUUAACAGAGGAAUGUGCAUGUACUGUACUUCUCCAAGAAAUCAAGUUGAAGACAAGACAAGUUGUUUUGCAAAGUAAUUUCACUUGCUGUGUGGAUAGAAAAGGUUUAGAAAAUCUGCUGUCAGUGCUGCUGCUGAUCCAGUCAAAUGGAGCUUCUGUUGUAGCUGUCUGACUUUAUUUUAGGUAUCCUUUACCAGAAACUCAGAGAGGGUACUUCUGACAGUGAAUGCUAUUUGCAGUGGGUAAAAAUGUACUGUUUUGUUUUUGGGGGAAUAAAAUAAAAAUUAGAUCACAAAAAAAGAACAUUUGGUUUCAGUGAUCAAAAUGUAAAGUAGCACUUUAUGUAGAAAAUUCAAUAAAUAAUACAGCAUUUUUAACCACGUUAUAAUUGUAAUUGUUUAAUAACCAUAAGCUCCAUGUGCUACAGUAUUCCUGCAGUAAAAAAAAAAACAAAAGAAGACAUUUCUAGAGUAGAUUCUUCAUUUCUGUUGUAGACAUUUUUCUGGUCAAUGUUAAAAACAAAACCUUCUCAUCUGCCUACUGUACCUGCCCUUUAUAGCAAGGACUGCAACUGUUGAUUGCUGAGAUACAUUUAAGCUUAAGGCACAAUAUUUAGGCACACCUACUGUACAAGCAUGGGUAGAUCUCUUGGGAUGA